UCUCACAGACCAAGAUGCUUUUACUCACACAGCAGAGGCAGAUCUCCCAGAAACCUCAUCUACCCUCCAGUACUGUCUCAUUGUCCUGCACUGGUGAACUCAGCUACACCGGCUGCCCUAUCCUCUGCCUAUGUAUUCUCUCACACUCCACGAGAAACUGGCAGAGGUGGUGGUACGGGUCUCCUGUUGUCCAAGAGGUGGUCCUUCUCGCCCAUCACCCUGUCUCAUCUCAGUUUUUCAUCAUUUGAAUUUCAUGCAGUUAAGAUCUCCUUUGCCCGCUGUCAUCUAAACCAAGGAAGAAAUCUUGUCCUGCUCCUUGGCUAUC